GCCAUAUUACGUUGAAACAUCGGUUUCCGUACAAUCGCCGAAGUUAAGCAACGUCGAACCUGGUCAGUACCUAGGUGGGUGACCACUUAGGACCACCAGGUGCUACAAG